AUGAGAAGUCGUGCUGAAUUAGAAAAUUUUCAGAACAUCAUAACAAGAAACUCUUUACAAAUUAACGAAUAUGUCUCAUCAUCACAAGUCAACUUAAAGACACAUCUUAACAACUUAGGGUCACAACCCUUUACAUUUGAUGAUAAAUACUAAGUCUUAAACAUAAAGGAAAAUUCUUAAAGAAACAUAGACUAUGUCCUCAAACAUAUGAGGACAUACUAAUAUUGAGAGAUGAACUUCCCAAGAUUUGCCUUCUAAUAACCUUCACUUGCGUUCCACCUAUAAUUAUAGAAAUAUAGAAGAGUAUGGAAUUAGUAAAAACAUUGUACUAAGUAUGACAUUAUGCAAAUUCAUGCUAAAAGAGUAUAUUUUUGUUGAAACUGAAUUUUCAUGCUAUUCUGAUAAACCUUCUAAUCCACUUUAGAAAGCAUCAUAUAAGUCGCCAUGUAUCAUUUAAUGUAAGAGUUCCAUAAAUAUCACAUAUAGUCAAUUUAACAUCACAUGAACCUUCAUAUACAACAUUAUCAAAAAACUCUCCUAGGUAAGACUUGAAGAUACCACCCAUAAAACCACUUCAAUAGAAACCUAAGUGAUCCUUAAGACUACGAAAGAUCAGAUAUGUCAUUCCGACUCCACAAGUCAACAUUAAUUAACAAAGACAAUUAGAAGAACACAUAUGCAUUUAGAAACUUCACAUAAAUACCAUCCUCCAAGGCAGCCCCCAAGUUACACUUAGUGCAAUGUGAAAGUAGCAUCCCAUACUACUACUCCCACUAUAGUAUUAUUUAACAAUUCCCUUAGACUAGGCACAUCACACUCAUCAUUUACUUAACAUUAAUCAUAAAAGACAUAAUAUCGACAUACUUCAUUAAUCUUUGGCACAUAGUUAACAUGCUUCAUUUCAUAAUGUAUACACACAUCAUUGACAACAUAUAGUGACCUAUUCAUGCAUUUUUAUGUAAAUACACACUAAGACUCCCUCAAAAUUUCUACUUGUGCAAUGGAUAGAUAGCAUCCCACACCACCUACUCUAAGUAGUCGACCCUUCAGAAGACUUGGUUUAUAACAUUCAUUUGAGUCGAGUCUAUCUUUAACAGACAUAGACCAUGAGAGCAUAACAUAGAAUCCCGACAUUAACCCCUAACGGAUGAGGGAUCCUUACUAUCCUAAGGUAGGGUCAUAUUUUAGCCUUUACAUGGAUCUCAAAUAGCUAUACCUAUGCGGGUGCAUAGUUAAGGAAUAAAGAGAUUGCUUCUAAGCAACUCAUUCUCAACUAGCGAGGAGCACUCAUCUCAAGAAGUACAUUUGGAUACAACAUCUCUACUCAUGAAGUGUACAUUUUAAGCAGUAUCUAAUCACAAUAUAACACAAAGAAAACCAUAUUUAUAAAAUUCUCUAAACAUCUUCAUCAAACCCAAAUCAUAAGUCAAAAGUUGAGAAUUUGCAUGAGUAUGGGUUGUAAUACCUCUAAAAUGACUUAGGUAAAUCUAGAUCCUAACAUAUUUUUCAUGAGAGUCUAAGGUCAUAAAAUGGUCUAUAAUGUGGUAAUUACAAUUUUUAUAAAAUAUAUAGGUGAAUUAGAAGUCAAACAUCAAGGGAUGACAAAGACUUUCGACGACUACUGACUAAUGUGCCUCAUGUAUGGUUAUAUGCCUAUAUGUGCGUUUCAUGAGAUUAUGAGGUCCUUAUAUGAGUUAUUAUAGUUUUUAUAGGCAGUGUGUCAAGUUUCAUAAAGUUUUGAGGUCAAAUGUCCAAGAACAUCCAUGACGUUCGAAAGGUUUGCCUUGAAAGGGUCUUGUGUGUCUUGGCAUGUUUCAUCGACUUUUACGUGUUCAUUUUGGAUGAAAUUUAUGUGGUAGGUCGUAAACUCGCAUAUGAUCAUUUUUGGAUUGGAAACGUCCAGGUGAAAAUCCCCUAGGACAAACAAGGGUCCUUAAGGAAGAACCUAUCUUUGAGCCAAAGGAUGUCAAGACCAGCCCCAAUCGACUCAGGCAAUCAACGACGUGUAGGUUGUUUGACACCCCGUCGUUGAUGGACGUUUGUUAGGACUUAUAAGUGGGGAAUAUGUCCAUACAAGGACCACUCUCACACCCAAACCAUGAACCAGCAGGACAAUCCCGUCUAUAGACUAGUCUUUGAUGGGCCUGCAAUUUCGUAGGUUCACUGUUAAGUUGGAGGGUGAAUUGGUAAAUUCACCCAUCAUCCAAAUAAGAUUUUGUGCGGUUACUUAGGGGUAUUUUAGGUAGUUUAAGUGGCUUUAUAAGUGCUAAAUACCUACAUGAAUUGAUUCUUCCAAAUUAAAACCCCAAAAUGUCUAAAAAAAUUUCUAGAACUCCAUUGAAGCCAAAACUGAAGGAAGAGCUUGGAUUGGAUAUUUGAGUGGUGAUUCUUCAUAAAUGUCUUGUAUUAAAAUCAUCUAGGUGUGGUUUUUGAUCCUUGAAACUCUAUUCAUCAAUGAUCCCAAAAUUCAAAGAGAUUUAUAAGUUUUCUAAAGAUGAAGUUAUCCAAUUUUAUGAUCUAUCUAUGGGUUCUUGCGUUAAAGGUUUUAAAUCAUUAUAUAUUGAUUAUAUUGAUGCAACUUGUAUUAUUUAAUUGAAUUAACCUAUGAACCCAUGUAAACCAUGAACCAUAGUAUUUGGCUACUCUGUGGGUGACUUGAUAUUAUCUUAAUGCUUAUGAAUUUUAUUCUAGUUUUCUAUGGGCUAUUGAAUGAUGUAAAAAUUGUAUUAUAUUGAUGUAUAGGCUGUAUUAGAUUGAUAAAUAUACAUUGAAUUUACCUAGAUUCAUUGUGAAUUAUAUUUUUUGUAUUUAAUUGAGGAUCAUGGCCAUGGGUAAGGGCCUAUUGUUAUUGUACUGGACAAUUUAGCUAUGAAUAGAAGUGGUAAGAGUAGAUCGGUGGUAGGAUUCCCUAGUUCUUUUUAUUUUAUGUAAUGUAGCUAUUGAAUUAUGCUUUGAUCGGUAUGGUUCACUUAUGAUGGAGGUGCUAUGUGAAUGAUAUGGCCUUAUCGGCUGUACAAUGAAAAUCAUGGCCUUGUCGGCCCCACUUGAAGUGCUAUGAUAAUUUGUGUAGUUGAUUUAUGUGAAGUAUGUUCAUAUCUGUCUUCAUGUGCGUAAUGUAAAAGUAUGUGUUCUUCUAUUGCUGUUAGGUGAUCAUGUUAGACUAUGACUAUGUCCUUAUGUGUGUAGUCUUAGAGUUGAUGCAUGAUUAUUCCUACUUGGCUAUAUGAGUCUAUGAUAGUUACAUUGAUGAUGUAAUAGUAGUGUACUACAUCCUUAUGUGUGUAGUAUUAGAGUUGAUGCAUGAUUAUUUUUACUUGGGUAUAUGUGUCUAUAAUGGUUACAUUGAUGAUGUAAUCAUAGUGAAUAGGAUGACUUAAAGAUGAUAAUGAUUAUUACUAUGUGAAUCAAGAAUGAUAUGUUGUAUGUGAUAAUGUGAAGUCUUGGUGUGUCUUGCGUAGUAGACUUGUGUCACUUACUUGAUACUAGCUGGAUAACUGAUCACCUUCAAACUCCUGUGAAUCUUUCUAAAAUAUUUAACCCUCAGUCUUUUAAUUGGUUCGACUAUAAAAAUGCCUGGUUGAACUUUUUAUUUGUUAGGCCAACGACCCAUACAUGGUUCGUCAAAUAUUGCCCAGAAGUAGCAACUUCUGUAAUUCCCCGAUGGUUGUACGAGUGGUGGAGCUACUUCGGAGGUAACAAACUGGUUAUGCCUAGACAGUUUGAAGAGAGAUACUCCCAAUUCCAAAUUGAUGAGGGCAUCUCGACCCUUCCAGAAAACAUAAAGCUCUGUAAGUUUUUCAUUAAAAAACGUUAAUCCGAUAUCAUUAGUUGGACGUUUGUUAUUGCAGAGUUUGAAAGAAUUAAAUAUCUCUCCAAAGAGAUAGGAAUAAUGGGCUGGUCUCCUGCUAGAAAGGAAUCUCCAUCGACUUCUACAAACAAAACACAAAGAUGAAGUUUCACCUUCCAAGAGUGAAUUGAAAAAACGUCUUGAAAAGGUAUUAUCUGAAUUAGAUGAUGAAAAGGGUAAUCCAGAUGAAGCUGCUAUCAUGCAUCUUCUAGAUGAAGCUUCAUCACAAAGUGAUGACAAUGGCGAUAUGAUGUAUUCAAGAGCUCUUGCACAGUAUUAUCUUAAUACGUUUGAUUAAUCCUAAUUGAGCUUAUUAAAAAGUGGAAUAAUUAGCCUUCAGACAGAGAUCAAAGAUUGGAAUUGUCUAAGAAGGGGUAAAAGAGUCUCAAAGAGACAGAAUAUUCACUGAUUAAUCAUAUGGAACCUAGAGGGACCCACCACUAUAAAAGAAGAUGCUUUCCCUACCGAAAGUUGUUUGGACUAUCCGGAAAAGAAGAAAAGCAAGGUCCCCACUAAUAUUAUCGCCAGACAAAGAAAUCUGGAUUCACCAAUUGAAAGAAGAAAAAUACAUUCUUUCUUAUCUCAUCAAUCUUUUAGCCUAUAUAAAGGCCAGUUGUAAGUCUCCUAGAUCAUGUUAAAUACUUUACUUCUUGUUAUCGUAUUUAAUUCUGCAAAUUUUUUGUAUCAAAGCCAUGUUGCUUGUAAGCAUGCGUAGCUAAUUUCCCUACUUAAACUACUUUGAAUGCUUCUAGAUUAGGUUAUACAUUUGAAUACAGUUAUUAUGUUUAUAUUAUCUCUUUAUCAUACAUAUUAAAUUCUAACUUGAGGUUUUGAAUGACUGUUGAAAUGAGGUUGUCAAGUAAUGUUGACUUUUAAUAGAGUAGCCAGAAAGGGAUAUCGUUUUAAGACCAGAGAGGCUAGCUUGAUCCAAGGCGUUUCUAUUACCAAUACCUUUCAAUGAUUUCAAGUAAAAUCCAAUAUAGUUGAGUUUUAUUAUGUCAUGACAACAGAUUAAUUAAAACCAUGAUUCUUCUAUUCUCAUAUAUUCUUAAUUUUGAUUUAUUCAUUGUAAAAUAGCUUCUAUAGGACAGUAUCUUUUACAAUGAAUUCUUCUAAUUUGGUUAAUUCUGUUAAUGUUUCUAUCUCUAAAAUAGAAAAUGAUUUGCAAAAUUGGGACAUCCCUUGAGAGUCCGUAGAAAAGAUUUAUCAGUUAGGUACCUUCUCUAUGUUCAAACGUUUUAAUAUAAAAACUUGUGAACAAACUAUUACUAUUAACAAUAGCCUUGAAACUAUUAAGUUGUUAAUUGUUGCCAACUUAGAUCGUUUUAAAAAGGAAUUUAAUUUUCUUCAUAUUGGUCUUGUUCAGAUUGCUCUUAAGCCUUCGUUCCGAAAAGGAUUAAAUAUUCCUAUAUGUUUACUCUUGCGUGAUGGUAGACUGCUAAACUUUGAUGACUCCCUGUUAAGAGUCUUAGAAAGCAACCUAGCUGAUGGCCUGGUUUACUUUAACUGUUAUCCCAACUAUUCAAUUGAUAUCAAUGACCCCAACAUCAUUGAUACUUUGACGCUCAACGUCAAAACCAAAAACAUGAAUAGUAAGUUAGACACCAGAGAAAUAGCUGUAAUAUACAGGGUAUAUUACAAGCUAAUGAAAACCACAAUAGCCCAAAGGCUAUUAAGGUUAGUGCUAGGGGUUUUACUAUGCUCAUGGAAGCAAACCAAGAACAUAGCACUACUUUCGUUCCCAGGUUAUUAAAAUGGAAUGACAUUCUUACUGAUGAAGAAUGGAAUUUCCAAUCAAUAACAAACCCUUUACCCGUCCAAGCUGAAAAGUCUCAACUUGACCGAGUAAUUCAGUUUCCAGAUGGAUCUGUUAACCUUAAGUUUCUAAGAUCCAACUCUUUUAGCCGGGCUACUUCAAGUAGAAGAAUGUCUUCGGCCAGACCUUCUUCCUUUUUCUGGGUAGAGGAAGAACACGACGAUUCUAUUUCCAUUGAUGGACCCAUUUAUGUUGAUAAAGGAAACUUCACGGGGUUGACUUCUCCCAAAAUAUCCCUAAGGCUUCCUACGAAAAUGCUGGUAGUCCUACUCCCAGUGACAUGAAACCUGAUGAACCUAAGAUAAGUUCCCUUGGAGUCAUUACAGAAGGAAAUUUUAUCCCUAAUAAAGAGCUUCUCAAUCAAUGGUGGAAACUCCCUGAGCACAAGCAGAAGGUUGAAUGGUAUAAAGCUACCUACCCUUUGUCCAAAAGAAAUUCCUUUAGAGACAACUGAUAUAAAGAUAUGAAGAGAUUCGAAACUAAAGUAGAAUUCUUCAAAUGGUUUGAGCUCUCAUGACAAAUUGAUGAUACCAAAUCAUCCCUUCAAGUCCUUGUCAACAAAUGGCAUACUAGGAAUGAAGUAGUUGAAAGUGUUACCCCUCCAAUAGAAGGGCUAAAAAUCCCUUACCGAAAGGACAUUAUUAUCGCCUCUCCUUUCAAGAAAAACAUUGAGAAAAGUACUUCCCUGAUUAAUACAGAGGACAUUAACCGAAUUUCGGAGCAGAACAAUUAUACCAACCAAAUUCUCCAUGUCGUAUCAAGACAAAUAGAAGAAUCUACCAAAUAGAAAGAUUCUAGUCAAAUAGGUGAAAAACCUAGCUCCUCCAAAUCUUUUAGAAAAAUGGAAACCGUCCCCAUCUUCAAGGUCCCUGAGUUUUCCAAAGAUAAUUUUCCCGACUUAAGCAAAGAAGCUAAUAAUUCAAGCCUUAUUGAGAAAAUCAGAAACUACUCUCUAAGCUUAAUGUCACCAAAGGAAAUAAGCUCAGCGCUAUCCAGUCUGAUAAUAGAUUCCCAAUAGGAGAAACUUUUAUCCUAGACCUUCCUUUCUUGAUACCCAGUUUGAAGAAAGUCAUCUUCACCCUUACUCGCAUGUCGACGAAACCGGCAUAUCUGAGUGUAACAUUGAUGGUAUGGCAGAAGGUCAAAUUUAUAGCAAGUUGCAGGAAAUAGAAAUUUCUGUAACAUCUUAUAAAUUAAGAGGUGCUUCUGACAAACAAGCUACCCAUAGGGUCAUAGCAGGUUUCACUGGAACACUAAAGAACUGGUGGGACAAUUAUUUGACAGAACAGGAUAAAGGCACCAUCCUCAACGCUAUGGUUGUAAAAACCAUCGUUAAAGAAGAAAAUGGAGCCUCCACCUCAACUGAAGUCCGUGUUGAAGAUUCAUUUCCCACCUUGGUAUAUAGCAUCGCUAAGCAUUUCAUUAAAGAACCUAGACUUUUCCAAGAUAGAAGUCUUGAGAUUCUUAACAAUCUAUACUGUAAGAAGCUUACAGAUUGGAAGUGGUAUAAAGACAUGUUUAUAACAAAAGUUAUGAUUAGACAAGAUUGUAACAAUGAUUAUUGGAAAGAACAUUUUAUCAGUGGACUACCCUCACACUUUGCUGAAAAGGUGAGAUCUAAGAUCAAAGACAGAUGUGAAGGAAAAAUUCCUUACAACCUUUUGUCUUAUGGUGAUUUAAUCACCGUCUUAACCAUAGUUGCCAUGGAGUUAUGUACAGAUCUUAAGUUAAAGGAACAACUUAACAGAGAUAAAAGAAUGACAUCUGCGGAAUUAGGAAGCUUUUGUCAAGACUUUGGAUUUCCAUCCUUAAAACCCCCUUCAGCAAACAAAGCUGAUAAAAAUACUCGUCAAAGAAACCAAAAGGUCUAUAAAAGAAAUGAGUCUACAAAGACCAAGGAUCACAAGCAUAAAAGAAAGUCUAAAGGAAAAACUUCAAAAGAUUCUUCUUCAGAAGACACAUGCUGGACAUGUGGAAAGAAAGGACAUAGAUCAAACCUAUGCCCAAGAAAUAAGAAAAAGAAGAAAAAGAUUAGUGUUCUCAAAGUUGAUGAAGAAAUCAAAAACAAGCUCUUCUCCAUCCUUGAAGAAGAAGAAUCAGAAUCUGAUUUUGAGUGAAAAAACUCUCAGGAAUCUUCCGAAGAAAGUGAUCAAGAAUUCUUUAAUGUAGCUCAAAAUUCAGAAGAUGAAACAACUUGUGACUGUCACGGACCUUUUUGUCUCUGUGGCGCUAAGGAAAUAAACGUUCUCUCAGAAUAAUCUGCAGAAACUUUGUUCGAUACCAAUUUACAUAUUCAAGAUGAAGAUGCAAGAAGAAAGUAUCUCCUUGAAUUGCAAAAGCUGGUCACUAGACAUCAGCAAGAUGAAAAGCCUCACAUAGAACCUUUCAGUAUGAAACAGAUUAUGAGCAGAUUUGAUUCUAAGAAGGAAGAACCUUCUAUCAAUGAACUCAGAGGAGAAGUCAAAACUCUCAAAAACGAAAUUAGAGACAUUAAAUCUUGACUUCAUUUUCUAGAAAUUAAUGAUCUGGAUAACAAGGUCAUCGAGACCUCCUCCAAAGGCAAAGCUCCCAUGAAUUAUCCGGGAGAAACAACUGAUCAACAAGAUAGCGAUUAUGAUACAGCAGGAGUCACCAUGAUCACCAAAGUCAGACCCCAAAGCUCUCACAUUAUGAUAAGGCUUGUAGUGAAUGAUAACUUGGUUCUCAACAAGAUAGCUUUUUAGAUAGUGGAGCAGAUCGUAACUGUAGAGUAGAAGGUUUAAUUCCCACUAAGUACCUUUAGAAAGGUACCACCAGGUAAUAUAGUGCCACAGGUGAACGCAUUAUUAUUGAUUAUAAAUUGCAUAAUGCUCAUAUUUGUAAUAAUGGUAUUUCUUUGACAAAUGAUUUUGUUAUUACAAAAAAUAAUAACGAAGAAAUUAUUUUGGGAAUUCCUUUCAUUAGUCAGAUUAAACCUUUUAUCUCAAACUUUGAUGCUAUCAAAACUACUAUUUUAGGUAAAGAUAUUUCUUUCCCUUUUAUCAAAACUCUUUCCGAAGAUGAACGAAAUUUCAUUCACAAGAAAACUGCUUUUAAAUUGAACAAUUUAUAUCAGCAAAUCAGCUUUCUUAAAGAUGAUAUUAAAUAUCAAAAAAUUGAAGAAAUUUUAAAAACAUUGAAAAUGGUCACUAAGAUUUACAACCUAAAAAAGAUUUUCGAAAAAGAAAUUUGUUCUGAUUUUCCUAACUCCUUUUGGGAUAGAAAAUUCCAUACUGUUGAUCUUCCUUACAUUGAUGGAUUAAAUGAAAAAGCCAUUUCUACUAAAGCUAGGCCUAUUCAAAUGAAUCAUGAAUUAAUGGAAAUUUGUAAAAAAGAAAUUCACACUCUUUUGGCUAACAAAAUUAUUUGACCUUCUAAAUCUCCUUGGAGCUGUUCAGCCUUUUACGUUAACAAUGCAGCAGAAAAAGAGAGAGGAGCUCCCAGGUUAGUUAUUAAUUAUAAGCCCUUAAACAAAGCUUUGAAAUGGAUCAGAUAUCCGAUCCCCAAUAAAAGGGAUCUUUUGAAACGAACUUUAAAAGCUAAUGUUUAUAGUAAAUUUGAUAUGAAAUCAGGCUUUUGGCAAAUUCAAAUUUCUAAAAAGGAUAAAUAUAAAACUGCUUUCAAUGUCCCCUUUGGACAAUUUUAAUGGAAUGUUAAGCCUUUCGGGCUCAAGAAUGCUCCUUUCAAAUUUCAAAAUAUCAUGAACUCUAUUUUUAAUAAUAUCUGUCAAUUCUCAAUUGUUUAAAUUGAUAGCGUUUUAAUAUUCUCUGAGGACAUUGAUUCUCAUUUUAAACAUUUGAAUAUAUUCUUUAAAAUAGAUAAGCACAAUGGCUUUGUCGUUAGUGCUAAAAAGAUUUUAUUAUUUGAAACAAAAAUUAGAUUUUUGGGUCAUGACUUGUUUCAAGGAACCUAUAGACCUAUUUGCAGAGCUAUUGAAUUUGCUGAUAAAUUUCCUGAUGUUAUUAUUGAUAAAACUCAGUUACAACGAUUUUUAGGUAGUCUUAAUUAUGUUGCUGAUUUCAUUCCAAAAAUCAGACAGAUUUGCAAACCUUUGUAUGACAGGCUAAAGACUUCUCCUAGUCCUUGGACUAAGUCUCAAACUCAGGCUGUUAUUCAAAUUAAAGAACUUUUUAAAAAUCUUCCUUGCUUGGGGAUUUCUAACCCUAGUUAUUUUAUGGUAGUUGAAACUGACACAUCUGACUUUGGUUAUGGAGGCAUUCUUAAACAAAGAAGAGCCCCUAAAGAACCUGAACAACUGGUUAGGUUUACUUCUAGAAUUUGGAAUUCCGCGCAAAGUUAUUAUAGCACCGUAAAGAAAGAAGUUCUUGCUAUUGUUCUUUGCAUAACUAAGUUCCAAGAUGACUUGAUUAACAAAGAAUUUUUACAUAAGGUAGAUUGUAAAUCUGCUAAAGAAAUCCUUGAAAAGGAUGUUAAAAAUCUUGUCUCUAAACAGAUAUUUGCUAGGUGGCAAGCUUUAUUAUCUAGUUUUGAUUUUCAGAUCGAAUAUCUUAAGGGAGAAGAUAACUCCCUCCCAGAUUUUCUAACCCGAGAAUUUUUGCAGGGUAAGAAUGAGCCGAGGAAAGCAGCAGAUUAGACCAAACAAGCCUACUGGGCUAAACCCUGGAGCAGGACCAUUUGCUAUCAGGCCAGACCUGAGUCAAAUAAAUAUUCAGCAUUGGCCCAUUUCCCUCCAAUUAUUUUAUCAGCACUACCGCAAAGUAGUUCUUCAAAUAUGUUGAUUCUGAAGAAACCAUUCUCCAAGGAUCCUAAGCCCUGCUCUCAGUCACCUUCAGGAAAAUUUAGAUUUUCCCAAAAACAAACCAGUGACAGCUAUGCGAUGAAGCAACCCGAAAACUUCGCAGAAGCAGUCUCCUCAGCAUCCAAAAUAACUGCAGAAAAGAUUCUUUCCAAAGAGAAAGAAAAAUUUGAAGUAUAUCCUUUAAAUACAUUUCCUAUCCUUGCUAUUGAUAAGGAAUCCGAAAAUUUUCCAUCUAGAAAAUUAAAAAGAAAACCUCUCUCUUGUACAAUACUAGUUUGAAUGUUGGAAUAAAAUCAACUUUUAAUUUUGUAAGUCUCCUAGAUCUUGUUAAAUACUUUACUUCUUGUUAUCGUAUUUAAUUCCGAAAAUUUAUCACCAUAUAACUGGAUAACUGAUCACCUUCAAACUCCUAUGAAUUUUUCUAAAAGAUUUAACUCUCAGUCUUUUAAUUGGUUCGACUAUAAAAAUGCCUGGUUGAACUUUUCAUUUUUUAGGCCAACGACCCAUACAUGGUUCGUCAAAUAUUGCCCAGAAGUAGCAACUUGUGUAAUUCCCCAAUGGUUCUACGAGUGGUGGAGCUACUUCGGAGGUAACAAACUGGUUAUGCCUAGACAGUUUGAAGAGAGAUACUCCCAAUUCCAAACUGAUGAGGGCAUCUCGACCCUUCCAGAAAACAUAAAGCUCUGUAAGUUUUUCAUUAAAAGAUGUUUAUCCUAUAUCAUUAGUUGGACGUUUGUUAUUGCAAAGUUUGACAGAAUUAAAUAUCUCUCCAAAGAGAUACGAAUCAAGGGUUGGUGUCCGGCUAGAAAGGAAUCUCCAUCGACUUCUACAAAGAAAACACAAGACGAAGCUUCACCUUCCAAGAGUGAAUUGAAAAAACAUCUUGAAAAGGCAUUAUCUGAAUUAGAUGAUGAAAAGGGUAAUCCAGAUGAAGAAUCUAUCAUGCAACUUCAAGAUGAAGCUUCAUCACAAAGUGAUGACAAUGGCGAUAUGAUGUAUCCAAGAGCUCUAGCACAGUCUUAUCUUAACCCGUUUGAUUAAUCCUAAUUAAGAUUAUUAAAAAGUGGAAUAAUUAGCCUUCAGGCAGAGAUAAAAGAUCAGAAUUGUCUAAGAAGGGGUAAAAGAGUCUCAAAGAGACAGAAUUUUCACUGAUUAAUCAUAUGGACCCUAGAGGGACCCACCACUAUAAAAGAAGAUGCUUUCUCUACCGAAAGUUGUUUGGACUAUCCGGAAAAGAAGAAAAGCAAGGUACCCACUAACCUUAUCGCCAAACAAAGAAAUCUGGAUUCACCAAUUGAAAGAAGAAAAAUAGAUUCUUUCUUAUCUCAUGAAUCUUUUAGCCUAUAUAAAGGCCAUUUGUAAGUCUCUUAGAUCUUGUUAAAUAAUUUACUUCUUGUGAUCGUAUUUAAUUCCGCAAAUUUUAUGGUAUCAAAGCCAUGCUGCUUGUAAGCAUGCGUAGCUAAUUUCCCUACUGUACCGGAGGUUAAACUACUCUGAAUGCUUCUAGAUUAGGUUAUGUAUCUGAAUACUAUUAUUAUGUUUAUAUUAUCUCUUUAUCAUACAUAUUAAAUUCGAACUUGAGGUUUUGAAUGACUGUUGAAAUGAGGUUGUCAAGUAAUGUUGACUUUAAAUAGAGUAGCAAGAAAGGGAUAUCGCUGUAAGACCAGAGAGGCUAGCUUGAUCCAAGGCGUUUCUAUUACCAACAGUUUUCAAAGAUUUCAAGUAAAAUCCAAUAUAGUUGAGUUUAAUUAUGUCAUGAUAACAGAUUUAUUAUAACCAAAAUUCUAGUAUUCUCAUAUAUUCUUAAUUUAGAUUUAUUCAUUGUAAAAUAGCUUCUGUAGGACAGUAUCUUUUAAAUGAAUUCUUCUAAUUUGGUUAAUUCUGUUAAUGUUUCUAUCUCUAAAAUAGAAAAUGAUUUGCAAAAUUUGGACAUCCCUCGAGAGUCCGUAGAAAAGAUUUAUCAGUUAGGUACCUUCUCUAUGUUCAAACAUUUUAAUAUAAAAACUUGUGAACAAACUAUUGCUAUUAACAAUAGCCUUGAAACUAUUAAGUUGUUAAUUUCUGCCGACUUAGAUGUUUUAAAAAGGAAUUUACUUUUCUUCAUAUUUGUCUUGUUAAGAUUUCUGUUAAGCCUUUGUUCCGAAAAGGAUUAAAUAUUCCUAUCUGUUUACUCUUGCGUGAUGGUAGACUUCUAAACUUUGAUGACUCCCUGUUACGAGUCUUAGAAAGCAACCUAGCUGAUGGCCCGAUUUACUUUAACUGUUAUCCCAACUAUUCAGUUGAUAUCAAUGACCCCAACAUCACUGAUACUUUGAUGCUCAACGUCAAAACCAAAAACAUGAAUAGUAAGUUAGAAUACUGAGAAAUAGCUGUAAUAUACAGGGUAUAUUACAAGCUAAUGAAAACCAAAAUCGCCCCAAAGGCUAUUAAGGUUAGUGCUAGGGGUUUAACUAUGCUCAUGGAAGCAAACCAAGAACGUAGUACUACUUUCGUUCCUAGGUCAUUAAAAUGGAAUGACAUUCUUACUGAUGAAGAAUGGAAUUUCCAAUCAAUAACAAACCCUUUUCCAGUUUAAGCUAAAAAUUCUAAACAUGACCGAGUAAUUCAGUUUCCAGAUGGAUCUGUUAACCUUGAGUUGCUAAGAUCCAACACUUUUAGCCAGGCUACUUCAAGUAGAAGAAUGUCUUCGGCCAGACCUUCUUGCUUUUUCCGGGGAGAGGAAGAACACGAGGAUUCUAUUUCCAUUGACGAACCCAUUUCAGUUGAUAAAGGGAAACUUCGCGGGGUUGACUUCUCCCAAAAUAUCCCUACGGUUUACUAUGAAAAUGCUGGUAGUCCUACUCCCAGUGACAUGAAACCUGAUGAACCUAAGAGAAGUUCCCUUGGAGUCAUUACAGAAGGAAAUUUUAUCCCUAAUAAAGAGCUUCUCAAUCAAUGGUGAAAACUCCCUGAGCACAAGCAGAAGGUGGAAUGGUAUAAAGCUACCUGCCCUUUGUCCAAAAGAAAGUCCUUUAGAGACAAUUGGUAUAAAGAUAUGAAGAGAUUCAAAACUGAAGUAGAAUUCUUCAAAUGGUUUGAGCUUUCAGAACAAAUUAAUGACACCAAAUCAUCCCUUCAAGUCCUUGUCAACAAAUGGCAUACUAGGAAUGAAGUGGUUGAAAGUGUUGCCCCUCCUCUAGAAGGGCUAAAAAUCCCUUACCGAAAUGACGUUAUUAUCGCCUCUCCUUUAAACAAAAACAUUGAGAAAAGUACUUCCCUGAUUAAUAUAGAGGAAAUUAACCGAAUUUUGGAGCAGAACAAUUAUACCAACCAAAUUCUCCAUGUCGUAUCAAGAAAAAUAGAAGAAUCUACCAAAAAGAAAGAUUCUAGUCAAAUAGGUGAAAAACCUAGCUCCUCCAAAUAUUUUUGAAAAAUGGAAACCGUCCCCAUCUUCAAGGUCUUUGAGUUUUCCAAAGAUAAUUUUCCCGACUUAAGCAAAGAAGCUGAUAAUUCAAGCCUUAUUGAGAAAAUCAGUGAACAACUCUCUAAGCUUAAUGUCAUCAAAGGAAAUAAGCUCAGCGCUAUCCAGUCUGAUAAUAGAUUUCCCAAUAGGAGAAACUUUUAUCCUAGACCUUCCUUUCCUGAUACCCAGUUUGAAGAAAGUCAUCUUCACCCGUACUCGCAUGUCGACGGAACCGGCAUAUCUGAGUGGAACAUUGAUGGUAUGGCAGAAGGUCAAAUUUAUAACAAGUUGCAGGAAAUAGGAAUUUCUGUAACAGCUUAUAAAUUUAGAGGUGCUUCUGACAAACAAGCUACCUAUAGGGUCAUAUCAGGUUUCACUGGAACAUUAAAGAACUAGUGGAACAGUUAUUUGACAGAACAGGAUAAAGGCACUAUCCUCAAUGCUACGGUUGUAAAAACCUUCGUUAAAGAAGAAAAUGGAGCCUCCACCUAAACUGAAGUCCCUGUUGAAGAUGCAUUUGCCACCUUUGUAUAUAGCAUCGCUAAGCAUUUCGUUGGAGAACCUAGACUUUUCCAAGAUAGAAGUCUUGAGAUUCUUAAUAAUCUAUACUGUAAGAAGCUUACAGAUUGGAAGUGGUAUAAAGACAUGUUUAUACCUAAAGUUGUGAUCAGACAUGAUUGUAACAAUGAAUAUUAGAAAGAACAUUUUAUCAGUGGACUACCCUCACACUUUGCUGAAAAGGUGAGAUCUAAGAUCAAGGACAGAUGUGAAGGAAAAAUUCCUUACAACCUUUUGUCUUAUGGUGAUUUAAUCAGCGUCGUAACCAUAAUUUCCAUGGAAUUAUGUACAGAUCUUAAGUUAAAUGAAAAACUUAAGAAAGAUAAAAGAAUGACAUCUGCGGAAUAAGGAAGAUUUUGUCAAGAUAUUGGAUUUCCUGCCUUAAAACCCCCUUCAGCAAACAAAGCUGAUAAAAAUACUCGUCAAAGAAACCAAAAGGUCUAUAAAAGAAAAGGGUCUACAAAGACCAAGGAUCACAAGCCUAAAAGAAAGUCUAAAGGAAAAACUUCAAAAGAUUCUUCUUCAGAAGACACAUGCUGGACAUGUGGAAAGAAAGGACAUAGAUCAAACCUAUGCCCAAGAAAUAAGAAAAAGAAGAAAAAGAUUAGUCUUCUCAAAGUUGAUGGAGAAAUAAAAAACAAGCUCUUCUCCAUCCUUGAAGAAGAAGAAUCAGAAUCUAAUUCUGAGUCAAACAACUCUCAGGAAUCUUCUGAAGAAAGUGAUGAAGAAUUCCUUAAUGUAGCUCAAAAUUCAGAAGAUGAAACAACUUGUGACUGUCACGGACCUUUUUGUGUCUGUGGCGCUAAGGAAAUAAACGUUCUCUUAGAAAAAUCUGCAGAAACUUUGUUCGAUACCAUCGAACAUAUUCAAGACGAAGAUGCAAGAAGAAAUUAUCUCCUUGAAUUGCAAAAGCUGGUCACUAGACAUCAGCAAGAUGAAAAGCCUCACAUAGAACCUUUCAGUAUAAAACAGAUUAUGAGCAGAUUUGAUUCUAAGAAGGAAGAACCUUCUAUCAACGAACUCAGAAGAGAAGUCAAAACUCUCAAAAACGAAAUUAGAGACAUUAAAUCUAGACUUCAUUUUCUAAAAAUUAAUGUUUUGGCUAACAAGGUCCUCGAGACCUCCUACAAAGGCAAAGCUCCGAAGAAUUAUCCGGGAGAAACAACUAAUCAGCAAGAUAGCGAUGAUGAUACAGCAGGAUUCACCAUGAUCACCAAAGUAAGACCCCAUAGCUCUCACAUUAUGAUAAGGCUUGUAGUGAAUGAUAACUUGGUUCUCAACAAGAUAGCCUUAUUAGACAGUGGAGCAGAUCGUAACUGUAUAGUAGAAGGUUUAGUUCUCACUAAGUACCUUCAGAAAGGUACCACCAGGUUAUAUAGUGCCACAGGUGAACGCAUUAUUAUUGAUUAUAAAUUGCAUAAUGCUCAAAUUGGUAAUAAUGGUAUUUGCUUGACAAAUGAUUUUGUUAUUACAAAAAAUAAUAACGAAGAAAUUAUUUUGGGAAUUCCUUUCAUUACUCAGAUUAACCCUUUUAUCUCACACUUUGAUGCUAUCAAAACUACUAUUUUAGGAAAAGAUAUUUCUUUCCCUUUUAUCAAAACUCUUUCCGAAGAUGAACGGAAUUUCAUUCACUAGAAGAUUCUUUUAAAUUGAACAAUUUAUCUCAGCAAAUCAGCUUUCUUAAAUAUGAUAUUAAAUAUCAAAAAAUUGAACAAAUUUUAAAAACUCCGGAAAUGGUCACUAAUAUUUCCAACAUAAAAAAGAUUUUCGAAAAAGAAAUGUGUUCUGAUUUUCCUAACUCCAUUUGGGAUAGAAAAUCCCAUAAUGUUGAUCUUGCUUACAUUGACGGAUUCAAUGAAAAAUUCAAUUCUACUAAAGCUAGGCCUAUUCAAAUGAAUCAUGAAUUCAUGGAAAUUUGUAAAAAAGAAAUUGACUGUCUUUUGGCUAAGAAAAUUAUUUGACCUUCUAAAUCUCCUUGGAGCUGUUCAGCCUUUUACGUUAACAAUGCAGCAGAAAAAGAGAGAGGAGCUCGCAGGUUAGUUAUUUAUUAUAAUCCCUUAAACAACGCUUUGAAAUGGAUCAGAUAUCCGAUCCCCAAUGAAAGGGAUCUUUUGAAACGAACUUUUAAAGCUAAUGUUUAUAGUAAAUUUGAUAUGAAAUCAGGCUUUUGGCAAAUUCAAAUUUCUGAAAAGGAUAAAUAUAAAACUGCUUUCAAUGUCCCCUUUGAACAAUUUGAAUGGAAUGUUAUGCCUUUCGGGUUCAAGAAAGCCUCUUCCGAAUUUCUAAAUAUCAUGAACUCUAUUUUUAAUCAUAUCAGUCAAUUCUCAAUUAUUUACAUUGAUGACGUUUUAAUAUUCUUUGAGGACAUUGAUUCUCAUUUUAAACAUUUGAAUAUAUUCUUUAAAAUAGUUAAGCACAAUGGCCUUGUCGUUAGUGCUAAAAAGAUUUUAUUAUUUGAAACAAACAUUAGAUUUUUGGGUCAUGACUUGUUUCAAGGAACCUAUAGACCUAUUUGAAGAGCUAUUGAAUUUGCUGAUAAAUUUCCUGAUGUUAUUAUUGAUAAAACUCAGUUACAAUGAUUUUUAGGUAGUCUUAAUUAUGUUGCUGAUUUCAUUCAUAAAAUCAGACAGAUUUGCAAACCUUUGUAUGACAGGCUAAAGACUUCUCCUACUCCUUGGACUAAGUCUCAAACUCAGGCUGUUAUUCAAAUUGAAGAACUUGUUAAAAAUCUUCCUUGCUUGGGGAUUCCUAACCCUAGUUAUUUUAUGAUUGUUGAAAAUGACGUAUCUGACUUUGGUUAUGGAGGCAUUCUUAAACAAAGAAGAGCCCCUAAAGAACCUGAACAACUGGUUAGGUUUACUUUUGGAAUCUGGAAUUCCGCGCAAAGUAAUUAUAGCACCGUCAAGAAAGUUUUUGCUAUUGUACUUUGCAUCACUAAUUUCAAAGAUGACUUGAUUAACAAAGAAUUUUUAUUUAGGGUAGAUUGUAAAUCAUCUAAAGAGAUCCUUGAAAAGGAUGUUAAAAAUCUUGCCUCUAAACAGAUAUUUGCUAGGUGGCAAGCUUUAUUAUCUAGUUUUGAUUUUCAGAUCGAAUAUCUUAAGGGAGAAGAUAACUACCUCACAGAUUUUCUAACCCGAGAAUUUUUGCAGGGUAAAAAUGAGCCGAGGAAAGCAACAGAUUAGACCAAACAGGCCUACUGGGCUAAACCCUGGAGCAAGCCCAUUUGCAAUCAGGCCAGACCUGAGUCAAAAUAAAUAUUCAGCAUUGGCUCAUUUCCCUCCAAUUAUUCCAUCAGCACAACCGCAAAUUAGUUCUUCAAAUAUGUUGAUUCUGAAGAAACCAUUCUCCAAGGAUCCUGAGCCCAGCUCUCAGUCACCUUCAGGAAAACUUAGAUUUUCCCAAAAACAAACCAGUGGCAGCUAUGCAAUGAAACAACCCGAAAACUUCGCAGAAGUAGUCUCCUAAGCAUCCAAAAUGGCUGCAGAAAAGAUUCUUUCCAAAGAGAAAGAAAAAUUUGAAGUAUAUCCUUUAAAUACAUUUCCUAUCCUUGCUCUUGAUAAGGAAUUUGAAAAUUACGAAAUUAAAUAUCUGCUUAAACCUGUCUAAACUAACAGGAAUUAUGUAGAUAGUGGUAACUCUCUCAAAACCAAAAAAUAUUAUGAAUUCAUCUUGGUUGACACAGGAUCAGUUGAAAUAGAACAUGAAUUGGCAGAUCAGUCAAACCCUGACAGCAUAGCCUAUUCAAAGUUUACUAUUAAAAAGAUUUUAUCACCAUAUAACUGGAUAACUAAUCACCUUCAAACGCCUGUGAAUCUUUCUAAAAGAUUUAACCCUCAGUCUUUUUAUUGGUUCGACUAUAAAAAUGCCAUGUUGAACUUUUUAUUUGUUAGGACAACGAACCAAUAAAUUUGCGGAAUGAAAUACGGUAAUAAGAAGUAAAGUAUUUAACAAAAUCUAGGAGACUUACAAAAUUAAAAGCUGAUUUUAUUCCAACAUUCAAACUAGUAUUGUACAAGACAGAGGUUUUCUUUCAAUUUUCUUGAUGGAAAAUUUUCGGAUACCCCUUGAAAUAUUACAGAUGGCCUUUAUAUAG
rnacentral:lncRNA from 1 species